rnacentral:lncRNA from 1 species
UGCACGUGUAUUUUCCUAUUAAGCUUGUGCAACUAUUAAGGCAAGGAACACAUGCAUACUAUGACUGAUCAGAGACCUAUUAUUAGAUCCCCACACGUAUACUUAAUGAUAAUAGAAAAGCCUCAGGAGUUCACAUUUGUUAACUGCAUUUUUGUUAGCUUUAUCCAUAAAAAAAAGUAUGAGUAUCCUUGUUCGUACCAUAAGGUUCAUGAUUUGGUUUUCACAUAAAGAUAGAGGUUGAAUAUCCCAGUUAGAUUACUUAGGUGCCUUAUGAUCCGACCUUGGUUGACCUA